UCGUUAAUGUUGUUCGACGAAACUCAGACUGACAGUUUGGAUCAGGAAAUCAGUUUCAUUUGGAAAUAAUGCUGCCCCUGCUUGCCCUCAGACUGCUUUGUGCACUUGUGAAUCUUCUGCUCACAGACUUCUGCACUCUCUUGGAUUUUGCUGAAAUGACCCUAUCAAAAUUCACCAACCAAUGGAAUGCAAGGAAGAUGGGGAGGAAAUGCCUUUUGACCUGUCUCCUGCCAGUGAGCUCGACUACAACACCAAGGAGAACGUCUGCGAGGACGAUGUCCACGCGCCUGAUCAAUACGAGGAGGAUCGAGAUGGUGGUGAUAAGCAUGAAGCGUCUUUAAAGGAGAUACGCAGAACCUUUAUUUUUAAAUAAAUUUCUGAGUGGAUAGUAUCUCCAUCCUUGACUCUUGUAUGCUGCAUAAAUGGGAAUUUAAAAAAUAUAUAUU